AGGGGUAUAGCUCAGUGGUAGAGUGUGUGCUUAGCAUGCACGAGGUCCUGGGUUCAGUCCAUAGUACCUCCA
rnacentral:tRNA from 1 species